rnacentral:rRNA from 1 species
UACGGAGGGUGCAAGCGUUAUCCGGAUUCACUGGGUUUAAAGGGUGCGUAGGCGGAUAGGUAAGUCCGUGGUGAAAUCCUGCAGCUUAACUGCAGAACUGCCGUGGAUACUAUCUAUCUUGAAUAUCGUGGAGGUUAGCGGAAUAUGUCAUGUAGCGGUGAAAUGCUUAGAUAUGACAUAGAACACCCAUUGCGAAGGCAGCUCACUAAAUUGUAACUGACGCUGAGGCACGAAAGCGUGGGGAUCAAACAGG